UUUAAUGUUUAAUAUGAAUAAUAUAUAUAUUUUAAAUAUUGGGGGAAUAUUUAAUAAUAAAUUAUAUUAUAGUUUUAAAAUUAAUUUUAUUAAUAAAUUAUAUAUAAAAUUUAAUAAUAAAUUAAAAAUUAAGAAAGAAUUAAAUUAAUAAUGAAUUCUGAAACAAUGAAUGAAAGUUUUAUUCGGUGAUUAAAUUUAGUAAAGAUAAAUAUAAGUGCCAGCAAUAGCGGUUAAACUUAAUUUAUAAAUUAAUUAUAACUAAUAAUAUUUAUAUAGAAUUUAAAAAUAAUUAUAAUUAAAUUUUUUAAUUUUAGGUGAAAUUUAUAAUUAAUUAAUAAUAAUUAUAAUUUAAAUUAAUAAAGAUAGUAAAAUUUAAUAAAAAACUAGGAUUAGAUACCCUACUAUAAAAUUUAAAUAAAUUAUUAAAUAAUUAAAUGUUAAAUCAUUAAAGUUAAGUAAUAUGGCGGCUUUUUAUAUCUAAUUAGAGAAACUUGUUGAUUAAUUUGAUAGUCCACGAUAAGAAAUACUUAAAUUAGAUUUAUGUAUUGUUGUUUAAAUAGUUUAAAUAGAUUUAUGAUUAUAAAUAUUUUUUAGAAUAUAAAUUCAAAUCAAAAUAUAGUAUAUUUAAGAUUUUUAUGAGUUUCAAUAAAUUAAAUUUUUUGAAUAAUUUAUUUUAAUAUAAAUUUGAAAGUGAAUUUAAAAGUAAAUUAAAGUAAUUUCUUUAAAUUGAAGAUAGUUUUGAAAAGUGUACAAAUCGCCCCGUCAAUUUCAUUUGAAAGUUGAAAUAAGUCGUAAC
rnacentral:ncRNA from 1 species